CCCAGCCAGCUGCUCCCGCACGCUGAUGAAUGAACUGUUGUUUAAUUCUGCACCUUUUACCUGGGCAGAGAGGGGAGGAUUUGUCCACCUGUAUUUUGCGCUUUGUCAUCUCUGCUAAUGUCAUUUUCUUAUAAAUGCAGUUUUGCUUAUAGUUUUUUUUAAAAUCUAGCUGCGCAUGUACACGUAGUUGAAGCUUCACCCGAUGCUUAAUGCAACGGAAUUAAAUAUGUGGCUUGCGCGUUCUUUUCGAAAUCUUAUUUUUAAAAGAGACACAUCCACAUUUAUAUAUCUCUCCAAAUCUGUCUGCCAAGUAUAGCAUUUCUACAUUGGCUUGUUCUUCCCCAUCCCUCACCUCGUCCCGGAGAUUCAAAGAUUGCCUUGAGCACCGUGCAGUUUUCUUUUAAACAGCCGCCUGAUUGCAGAAUGUGUCUGGAGGGUCAAGUCCUGGUGGGAGAAACUGAUCGUGCCACUGGAGCUUGGAACAAAAACAGACAUUGCUGGAAAAGCUCAGCAGGGUGGCAGCGUCUGUGACGAAUAAAUCAGAGUUUAUGUUUCGGGUCCGGUGACCCUUCCUCAGAACUUGAGGCUUGGAAACCCGUUGGACCGAGGAAAGUGGAUGAGGGCAUCGCUGGCUAGGCAGCAUUUAUUGCCAAUCCCUAAUUGCCCAGCGGACAGUUAAGAGCCAACCACAUUGCUGUGGGUCUGGAGUCACGCAUAGGCCAAACCAGGAAAAUGGAGUACAGUUGAAGUCAUAGAAGUUUUCAAUUUGUGCAACAUGAACCAGGAAAAGAACAGAUUGCACAGGCUGCCUGGUCAGAUGUUAUCAGCUAUCAGAAUUGCACCAAAUAUCCUUCAGAUAAAGCAAGACACCGCUGAACCCACUGUUCACUGAGGUCAUCCUGUUGCCAUCGCUAUUCGCUCGUUGUACCAUUAUCGACUCUCACUCCUACACAGUAAUGAUGCAAAAACUACAGCUGACAUGUGUAGACAAACAUCAAAUGGGGCAUGUUGCGAGAUGACCCACUUCAGCAAGAACUAACCCAUUUAACAAGUGGACUUUACAUAUUAUGCUUAAACUGAAAAGUUUGAGUUCUCUUUGCACUGUUCCCACAGCUCAUGUUAUGGGACUGAUGAAUAUUGACGAGUGUAUGUUGGUUGUACAUUACUGCGUGGGCACAAUAUGAAGAUUGGUUACUGUGGUUAAACUUAAUAAUUUUAUCUUUCAUAUCUGCCAGUGCCCAGAAAGACAAAGGGGAGCUUAAGAUUUAAGUUACAUGCAGAUAUUCAGAAGAUGAAAGUCUAUACACGACACCAAAGUGCUACAGGCAGUAUCUGAGAGUUCUGUCUUGUGAUUUUUAUUUUACCAUAGAUUGAGAGGUAGUGGCUUUGUCUCGAUGUUUUCUGAAUAUUGCUGAUUACUGGUAUAUUAUACAUCUGAACUAUCUGCAUUGUGUAAAUAUCCAAGAUGGUCAGAUAAGACAUUGAUAGUUUGACUGUUUUGUCUUAUGUCUAAUGUUUGUUAUUUUAGAACCAAACUGUCAUACCAAUAUUUAUGAACUUCUCCAUUUUCUCACCCGAAACUGCAAGGAGCUGUUGAAAGUUGAAAUUGAGAAAAACUUAUGCUUGUAUAAGAGCCUUUCAUAAUCAUUGUAUUUCUCAACACAGCCAAUAAAUCACAAGAAAUAUGGCAACCCACUGCACACAACAAAAUCCCAUAAAGAAGAAUGUGAUGAAGAUAUAUAUCACUUCAAAUAAACAGUUUGAUAGAUACAUAUUGUGUAGAAUGCUUGGAAAAAUCCUGUUCCAACAAAGUGGGUCCCAUGAAAAGUUUACAUCCGUGAAAAAAUGGCAGAAUGGCUUAGGUUUAAUGACUCAUCUAAAAGACUACACUUCUGAUGGUGCAGCUCUCUUUCUAGUGCUCCUGAGCCAUCACUCGAAUUCCUGCAUCAUUGUGUAGGUUCACGCAAGAGAUUUGACCACAUCACCAUUAAGUACAAGAAAGAGGAGUAGUAAGAUUUCUAAAGGUUUGAUUCCAGCAAUGGGUGCUGUUUUCAUUUGUUUCCCUGAGAGCUGCUAAUAUUUCAUCUUCCAGAGUACUUGUUUCAGUUUUUCUAGGGUUCCUGUUGGUAAUCACUUUACUGGGUUGUGUAUUUGGGUGGAAGCGCCUGUUUUGGCUGUAGCGCCUGUUCUGUAAGAUUACCAGUAAGAAGAAGCUAGACAAGGCAGUCUUUUCAUUUUUCAUCUGCAGUGCUGAAUGCCAGGGAUUAACUGUCAUGCAGUAGGGUGAAGAUUCGUGUGUGGUUCUCAAUAAAGUAUUAGAAACUUAGAGAGAGGAUGCAUUGCAUGUAGCUCAGCCAGAUCUUGUCCUUAUCAAAAGGUAGGGGGUUGUUGGUCAGCAGCCAGGGGUAGGUCUUCUGACUGACAAUAAUACCCCUCCUUAAUCCGGGGACUAGAAAGUCAAUGGUCUUGACUGGAAUCUACUGACACCAAUUCGGUGCAAAAAAUUAGCUUGAUUUUAGAUUUUCACACACCUUCCUACCUCAGUACUGCAUCUAAUAUUGUGUUUAUCCACUUAACUAUUUAGUGGAAAUAAUUAAGAAUCCAGCGAUUAAUGCUAACCAGUUAAGUUGUUCAUAUUUUGAUUUUUGCAUAGUAAAAUUGACAUUGUAAAAUUAAAAUUUGUAAUUGAAAUAAAUCGUUGAAACUUGAUAGACCUCAUUUCAAGUGAAGUAAACAUGCACAAACCGAUGAACAGUUUUGUGCACUUAGUUUCUGUUUCGCUCAGUCUUAUAAAAGUUGAUUUACCGUACUAUAGAGCUGUAUGAUAAGCUGGUUUUUGCUUCUAAGCAGGACAACACACCAUCUCUUUCCAUUCAUCACAAGCUCAGCACCUGUGCUCACUUUAUGAAUGUCAACUAAGGGUGUUUAUACAAUCAUAAAUGUUCCUGUAAAAUUAAUAUUAUUCCAUUGUCCUUCAUUAAGUGAGAAGUUUGCAUUGGUUGUGAAAGGCAAAAUAAAAGAAGCAUUCACCAAGUGUGUGUAAAUGUUGAUUUAUAAGCAUCCUUGUCUCAAUGUGAAGUGAUAAUGGGAAC